UUACAGCCAUAUCAUGUUGAAACACCAGUUCUUGUAUGAUCACCCAAGUUAAGCAGCAUUGAGCCUGGUCAGUACUUAGAUGAGUGACAGCUUGGGAAUAGUAGGUCCUGUAA